GACGAACGCUGGCGGCGUGCUUAACACAUGCAAGUCGAACGGAAAGGCCCUGCUUUUGUGGGGUGCUCGAGUGGCGAACGGGUGAGUAACACGUGAGUAACCUGCCCUUGACUUUGGGAUAACUUCAGGAAACUGGGGCUAAUACCGGAUAGGAGCUCCUGCUGCAUGGUGGGGGUUGGAAAGUUUCGGCGGUUGGGGAUGGACUCGCGGCUUAUCAGCUUGUUGGUGGGGUAGUGGCUUACCAAGGCUUUGACGGGUAGCCGGCCUGAGAGGGGGACCGGCCACAUGGGGACUGAGAUACGGCCCAGACUCCGACGGGAGGCAGCAGUGGGGAAUAUUGCACAAUGGGCGGAAGCCUGAUGCAGCAACGCCGCGUGCGGGAUGACGGCCUUCGGGUUGUAAACCGCUUUCGCCUGUGACGAAGCGUGAGUGACGGUAAUGGGUAAAGAAGCACCGGCUAACUACGUGCCAGCCGCCGCCGUAA
rnacentral:rRNA from 1 species